GCAUGGGAUCAAAUUUAUAUACGCGCGCUCUAAGGGGUGCCCCCCUCUCGGUCCCAACCGGAAACACCCAUGCCCCCUGACCGGAUGAAAGGCUUUAAUCCAGGGCCAUGGAACCUUCAUCCCGGCCUCUCCAUUUGGUGUGUACCGGGAAGGGGUUUACAUCUUACUAAGCCAUAUCCCUUGCGGGAAACAUACGGAAAGGGAAAUGAACGGGAGUUGAUAUCGGGGUCAACAAACAUACUGGCAUAAGACUGGCAUGCUACAACACUACCAUCUUAGCCAUCUUCAUGCCACCACGUGGCCAUGCAACCUCAUUUCCAUGAACUCAUGGAUUUCCGUAACUCACUUGUCUCAGCUUUUCAUGAAACAAAAUUUAUUGGGAUGCUUAUGAACAUGACAUGAAACUAUUCAAUGCAAACAUGCCAAGACACUCAUCAUAUCAAAAGUUCAAACAUGCUUGCCUGGCUCGGAGUAGUCGGGGCCUAGUUCGGUGAAGUUCGCGUCUCCGUCACCACCUUCAGUAUCUACGGUACACAAAAUACACGCGCUAUCGUAAAUACCGUGGGGGUACAGAAAGUUGAUCCAAAUAUUGUUCAAAUAAAUAUGAUAAAAAACUAGAAAAUUUUUUGAAGAGGACACAAAAAGAAUCACUCAAAAGUUCCUUUCUGAUAAAAAGUUAUAAGGGUUUUAACCCAAGGGCCCAUCUGUAAUGAAACAGAAAGUUUCCAGGGGCUCACUUAUAAAAAUAGAAAACGAUUCGACUGAAAAUAUGCCGGCCCAGAGGGGAGACGUACUUUGGCAGAAGACGCCUUCAGAAAACGAUUCGUUUAAAAAAAGGACUGAGAGGCUGACGGGUGGGCUCCACCUGUCGGGUUUGAAAAUCCAAAACGAGAGAAACAGAGCGCGACAGCGCCCGAGAGGUGCGGUGGUCGCCGGCGGUGAUCCACGGAGAGGUAGGGUGAUCGGACGGUACCUUCGUGAUCAGGGCACCAUUCCGCGUCUGAGGGAGGUGGAAGUGGUCGCCGGCGAGUACUGUGUCGACGGUGGCCCUUGCUCCGGCGGACGGCGGUUCGGACGAGGACGGAGCUCGCCGGAGAGGGCUGCAAGGUUCAAAUUGACGAGGGGGUUAGGGUGCUAGGUGUGGAAGAGGGCUGCAUAUGGGGUUUGGGCGUCGGAGAUGGCCUCACCGCAGUGGAUGCUACUGGAGCUCGAGGCGAACGGAGGUGGCCGGAGUCGAGGAAGAAGGGCUCCUCAAGGCCCCUCCAGUGGUCAGGCAGGAUGUGGUGAGGUGGUGUAGCCGGGCGUGAGUGCUAGCGGGCUCGGGGUGCUAUAUAUAGCCACCCCGAGGCGGUUGCCGAGAACGGGGUUCUCCGGUGAGGUGAUUACGGCGCCGUGGAGGUUGCACGGGAGGUUGCAGAGGUGGGGCGUCAUCGCGGUCGUUCCCUGGUUUGGUUUGUGCGCUAACAGCGUUGGGAUUAGGUGGCUUAGGUGGAGUUCGACGGAACGGGGCGGCGCGGGCCCGUCGGCGGCAGAGAGCGCGCUCUGUGCGUGCUGCGCCACGGCGACGGUGCCGCACGCGUGCGCUGGCACGGAGACGGCCACGCGGAGCCACCAGGGGGUUUGGGCGGCGCCGAACGGCGUUGCGCCGCAGUUCUGCUCGCUGUUGGCCGCUACGGUGAUUCGGCCGCCGCAAGACACGCCGGCGCAGGCGGGCCAAGGUGCCACCGACGCCAGCAAUGCGCCAAGCGCGUGUGUGAGGCUCCGGACAAGCAAGUUAGGCCGUGAGCAACGUGCAAAGUGCACUGUGAGCAUGUGACUGAAUCCCUGACGACGAUCGACACUGAACCCUGAAUUUAACUGAAGAUGAACAGAACAGUGCAUGCAAGGUGUUCGACAGAAUGAUUCUGGCCUCUAGGGAUUUUUCCUUGAGCUGAUUUUUGGUGGAGCGGUCUCUCAUUGCAACUAGAGGUUGCCUGAAUUUUGGUGGAAUUUUUGGAGAAGUGUAGAUAUGAAUUUCACCAAAUUUGGCAAAUCUGGUCCAAACUUGCAGUGAGUGAAAUUUGAAAUAUUUGAAAAGAAGAAGAGUGGAUCAAGAUGGUUCUGGGUUGUGGGUACAAAGGACUAUACAAUGGUACUGAGUUGAGGUCAAAAAUCAAAAGCCUUUGGGUACUUGCUUUGCAAAUCACUUAGGCUCAAAAGAAAAGGCAGAAUUAUUUGGAAAGAGAAAAUAAUUGGAAUAAAAUCCAAAAAUGGAGUUUAUUUGUGUGGACAGAAUGUGUGGGUUGUAUCCAAGUGGAAGGAGGGGUUUUUGAGAGGAGUUUUACCAUGAGUGGCAUGGCAAAACAAAAAUGGAUCAAACCAAAUAAAAAUCCUAAAACCAAAAGGUUUUCUUUUUUAGAAGAAAACUCAAUCCAGAAAGAGUUUUAGAGAGUAGACUUAGAAGAGGGUUUUUAAAAAAAAAUUAAAUGACCUUUUUCAAACCAGCAAGGCUCCUUUUUUUUGAAAAUAAAACCAUAAAAAUUUUUGGAGUGUCACAGCACCUACCCCCUUAGGAAAAAUCUCGUCCCGAGAUUUCAGCUGAUCCUUAAACAGGUGUGGGUGCUCUGUCCGAAGAAAAUCCUCUCUUUCCCAAGUGGCUUCACUCUCGGUGUGAUUGCUCCACUGAACUCUGAAAAAUUUGAUGGUUUUCUGUCUGGUUCUCCUUUCAGAUUCUUCCAAUAUUUUCACUGGGUGUUCGCGAUAGGUGAGGUCUGGUUGUACGUCGAUGUUCUCAUGAGAUACUUGCUUCUCUGGGUUGCUCACGCACUUUCUUAAUUGGGAGACGUGGAACACGUCGUGGAUGUCGGACAAUUCUUCGGGAAAGUCUAACUGGUAGGCUACCGUGCCUCUUCGUGCCACUAUGCAGAAUGGUCCAAUGAAUCUUGGUGCUAACUUCCCCUUAAUCUUAAACCAUUGUAGUCCCCUCAUAGGAGAUACUCGUAGGUACACAAACUCACCGGGUUCAAAAUUGACUUCACGAUGUUUCCGAUCGUAAUAACUUUUCUGUCGGCUCUGAGCCGUCUUAAGUCGGUCCCUGAUUAGCUUGACCUUUUCCUCGACUUCCUUGAGCAUGUCUGGGCCGAAGAUACGGCUGUCUCCGGUCUCUGACCAAUUUAGCGGGGUACGGCAUCUUCACCCGUACAAGGCUUCAAAAGGUGCCAUUUGCAGGCUGGUCUGGUAACUGUUGUUGUAUGCAAACUCGGUGUAUGGUAGGCUUUCCUCCCAACUGGCUCCAUAAGUGAGGACACAUGCCCUCAGCAUGUCUUCCAAAAUUUGAUUUACGCGCUCAGUUUGUCCAUCGGUCUGUGGAUGGUAUGCGGUGCUGAAAGCUAGUUGGGUCCCCAGGGACUGUUGCAGGUGAUCCCAAAAUCCAGAGACGAAUUGUGUGCCUCUGUCAGAUAUUAUGGUCUUCGGAACUCCAUGUAGACAGACAAUACGGGAAAGAUAAAGCCUGGCGAGCUUCUGAGUGGUGUGAGUUGUUUUUACGGGAAUGAAGUGCGCUACUUUAGUCAAUCUAUCCGUGAUGACCCAUAUGGCAUCAUGCCCAUGUUGUGAUCUAGGUAGCCCAACAAUGAAAUCCAUUCCGAUCUCGUCCCAUUUCCACUCGGGUAUCUUAUUUGGUUGCAAUAGUCCGGCCGGUUUCUGGUGCUCGGCCUUUAUGCGCUGACAUGAGUCACAACACGCAAUAAACGUGGCUAUGUCCCUCUUUAUGCCAUGCCACCAAAAUGUUUCCUGAAGGUCUUUGUACAUUUUUGUUCCUCCAGGGUGAAUUGAAUACGGGGCGGUGUGGCCCUCAGCCAAGAUCUGUUGUUUAAGGUCAUGAAUAUUUGGUACGCAAAGUCUAUUCUCGUACCACAAUAUUCCUUGCUCAUCGACAAUGAAUUCUGGGGCCUUGCCCAAUUUCAUCUUCCGUUUUAUGCCUUCAAUGCUGGGGUGACCACGCUGAGCCUCUUUAACUUUUUCUAUCAGGGUAGGUUGUAUCUCUAAGUUUGACACACUGCCUUCGGUGACCAUCAUUCGGUUGAGCUUAGCAAAUUCCUGCCGAAACUCAGGUCUCAAGUUUGUCAUGAUGUCGUUGUUUGGACUGGGGUUCUGACUUAGAGCAUCUGCUACAACAUUUGCCUUGCCUGGGUGGUAGUGGAUUCCAACAUCAUAAUCCUUUACCAAUUCCAACCAGCGUCGUUGCCGUAAAUUGAGUUCUGGUUGGGUGAAAAUAUACUUGAGGCUCUUAUGGUCCGUGUAUAUUUCACAACGAUUUCCAAGUAAGAAGUGUCUUCAUUCCUUGAGUGCAUGGAUAACUGCAGCUAACUCUAGGUCAUGAGUAGGAUAAUUUUCCUCAUGCUUGCGAAGCUGUCUGGAAACAUAAGCGACAACCUUGCCUUCCUGCAUUAAUACGCACCCGAGGCCCUUUCGAGAUACGUCACAAUAUACCUCAAAAUUCUUGUGUAUGUCUGGCACAGUUAAUACUGGUGUUGUCGUUAGUUUCCUCUUUAGUUCUUGGAAACUUUUCUCACAAGCCUCCGUCCAUUCAAACUUCUUGUCCUUCUUGAGAAGUUGUGUCAUUGGCUUUGCUAUCAUGGAAAAUCCUUCAAUAAAUCUUCGGUAGUACCCUGCCAUUCCUAGAAAACUUCGUACGUUCGUUACGCUGGCUGGUGUUUUCCAGCCAAGUAUGGCCGUGACUUUUUCUGGGUCUACGGCAAUACCUUCUUGGGUUAAUACAUGGCCCAGAUAACCUACUUGCCUUAGCCAAAAUUCACAUUUGCUGAAUUUGGCGUAUAACUGAUGCCUCCUGAGUUCUCCUAGCACAAUUCGGAGAUGUUCAGCAUGCUCUUCGGGCGUCUUGGAGUAUAUCAGAAUGUCGUCGAUGAAUACCACAACAAACUUGUCCAUGUACUUCAUAAAUACUUUGUUCAUGAGGUGAACAAAAUAUGCGGGGGCGUUCGUUAGCCCAAAUGGCAUUACUGUGAACUCAUAUAGUCCAUAUCUGGAGGUGAAGGCUGUCUUGGGAAUAUCUUCUGUCCGUACUUUUAAUUGAUGGUACCCUGACCUCAAGUCAAUUUUUGAGAAUACCUUGGCCUGAGCGAGCUGAUCAAAUAAAUCAUUUAUUCGUGGCAUUGGAUACUUGUUCUUGAUUGUGACCAUGUAAGUGCUCGAUAAUCGAUACACAACCUUAGUGUGCCAUCCUUCUUUUUGGCAAAUAAUAUUGGUGAACCCCAAGGUGAGGAGCUGGCUCGUAUAUACCCUUUGUCCAAUAGUUCCUUUAUUUGUUUCUUCAAUUCUACUAAUUCGGAUGGUGCCAUUCUGUAUGGUUUCUUGUAUAUGGGAGCAGUUCCUGGUGCUAGCUCAAUGCUGAAUUCUAUUUCUCGGUCUGGUGGCAUACCUGGCAGCUCUUCAGGAAAUACGUCUGGAAAUUCACAUACCACUGGAACCUUGCUUAAUUCAGAAAUAUCCACCUUAUUCAAUCUCGGUUGCCGGGAUAUAUUCCUCUCUUUGGCCGAAACUUUUAUUGUCUUCCCGUGGUGAUGGGUGAGGAUCACGGUCCUGUUGAAGCAGUCAAUAAAGCCUUUGUUGGUGGUUAACCAAUCCAUCCCUAAGAUGACGUCCAGCCCUUUAUUUUCUAAUACAAUAAGGUUGGCGUGAAAUUCCAAUCCUUCGAACUCAAUUGUCACACCUUGGCAGUAACUCUGGGUGACUUGCUUAAUCCCAGGGGACUUGACGAUCAGUGAUUUUUCCAAGGGAAGGAUCGAAAAAUUAUUUUGCAAAGCGAAACUUUUCGAAACGAAUGAGUGAGAAGCUCCAGAAUCAAACAAAACCAUGGCAGGUAUUGUGUUGACAGGAAACAUACCGAGUACGAUAUCUGGGGCAUUCUGUGCUUCCUCUCUGGUCACGUGGUUCAGGUGACCCUUCCUGUGAUUGUUGUUGGGGUUGAAAUUGUUGCGCUUGGGCGCUGAAUUAUUGCCACCGUUGUUUGGCUUCGGGGUCGAGUUCCUUGGCUUGGGGCAUUGUUUGGCAUAGUGCCCUUCUUCCCCACAAGCGUAGCAGGUCCUGCCUGGGCGAUAUGUGAACUCUUUAUCUCUGGCAUGGAAAUUCUUGACUGGUCGUGAGACAUUUGUCGGGGUUUUGUGUGUAUGACCUUUCUGAAAAUCCGCCUUGCUUCGGGGAUUGCGAGCAUAAUUUUUCUGGUCCCUUUUUCGCUUGCGGAAAUCUUCCAGGCUGCGCCUCUCAUUUUCCAAGGUAAUGGCCUUAUUCACUAGUGUCUUGAAAUCUAGAAAAGUGUGUACGACCAGUUGGCAUUUAAGCGCAGGCGCCAGGCCGUCCAAGAAAUUCUCCAUCUUCUUACUUUCAGUCAUACGCUCCUCAUUGGCAUAGCAAGAUAACAGUGUAAAUUGUCCGUUGUAUUCUGACACUGUCAUGGUCCUUUGCUUGAGAUCAUCGAAUUCUCUCUUCUUUAUUUUCAUAAGGCUUUUAGGAAUAUGCACCCCACGAAAACCUUCCUUAAAAUUGUUCCAAGUUACAUUAUUCUCGUUGGGGUGCAUGUGUAGGAAAUUCUCCCACCAUGAUGCAGCUGCUCCUGUCAGAUAGUGGGGUGCAUAUAGCACUUUUUCCUGGUCUGAACACUUGGCAAUAAUUAAUUUUCUCUCCAUGUCUCGAAGCCAGUCUUCGGCCUCAAGAGGUUUGUCAGUAUGAGAAAAUGUUUGGGGACGCGUCUUCUGUAGCUCAGACAACUUGGAUUGCUGCUGAAAUUGUCCGGGGCGAUUUCCCAUAGUGAUGACCUGAUUCAUUAAUUCCUGAUGCUGUUGCUGACUCUGCUCAUAAAGGCGGCACAUUUGUGAAAGUGCCGAUUCACUGCCCUGUUGGCUCGACUGUCCCUGUGUGAAAUUGUUGCUGUGUUGUGCAUCAUAAUUUUCCUCUGGCGGAGCUGGCAUGGAGCACGUCCAAGGACGAGACAUUUUUCACUCUGGGGAAACAUUUUGCAAAACUCAUAAGAAAAGAAACUGAGUCGUAAAAAUAAAUGCACAAGGACAAACAAAACCAAAAAGGACACUCCAGGAUAUUUUUUUUGAAAUAAAACAUCGUUUGCGCACGGAGAAGGACUACUCAUACAUAUCUUACAUGCAGGCGGUAAUUAUACAGUACAUCACUCAGGAUAUGCGUACAUAUUCCUGACAUGUUAUGUCACAUCCCUAGCUUCUGGUAAUGCACUAGGCUAGACUUCUUGCUGCAUCAUGUUUAAAUUCAAACGAAAUUUGAAUUGAGGAAUUUUCAAAGCCUCAGAAACCUCCAAAAAUAACCAACAGUUAAAUCUUCUCAAAUGUGUCCAAGAAAAUGUUCCUGUUAUCCUAUGGAAAUAUUGGCAAGAGGUAAAAUCCAAACCAAUAUUUUUGGUGUCUCAGAAACAUUUAAUUUGGGCAUUUGAAUUAAAGCAAUAAUUAUUUGAAUUGGAUUUAUAUCUACUAUUAAAUAAAUAUAGGUCCAAUAAUUCUGAAAUAUUUUGUGGAGCAUUGUUUUAAUUCUUUUAGCUCCUAAAAAUAUUGUCAGAAGCAAAAUAAAUUGAAUUGGUUUCAAAACCAAAUUCAAAACAAACCUGCAAAAUAGAAAACAAAACAGAACAGAAAUAAAAAUAAAAAGAACAGAGUCUUACCUGGGCCUUACCUGGCUGGCCCAGUGGACAGCCCAGCCCACUGGCCUGGUGCCAGUCGUCCUCUACCUCUGCCAGUAGGCAGAGGAGGGAGACAGCGCACACGCGCGCCGUGGCGACACGCCACCUCCCUGCCUGCCUGCGUCCCUCGCCACCGCGACGCCUCGGGCUUUCUCCUCGGCGCCGCCUCGAACCCCUGGACCCCCUCACUCGUCCCCUUCGUCUCUCCUUCGCCUCUCCCUCUCGCACACCCGAACGCCUCCGCCGCCGCCGUUCGCAACCACCGCAACCACAGCCACUCCCUCGCCCCCUCUCUGCGUACCCGAGCUCCGCCCUGACCCCGUGGAGCUACCCACCGACGCACGCGAUCAGAGGAAGCCGAAAUCGACCGGAGCAUCAUCGUCUUCACCUCCGGUGCCCGGAGAUCGACUCCACCGAUUCGGCGCGUCCAGAGCCUCCCCGGCCCCGCCGUCUGCACCGUCUGACUCGCCGUGAGCCACUUACCUUAUCCCCUAACCCCUUGUGCUCGCCCCCGUGCUGUAGCGCCGUUCCCCGCGAGCACCGAGCUUCGGCCAUCGCCAUUGCCGGCGAACCUCGCGUCCCGGAGCUCUUCCGCUCGCUCCAGUAGCUCCCGUGUGCUCUCCAGGUUCCCAGGGUCCCGACGCGCUCCUCUGCUCUCUGGCUAACGCGCUGCAGCCACCGCGCCGUGCUGGCCCGAACUCCGGCCGCCGCCGAAGUCGACGCUGCGCUCGACUCAGGCUACGUCUCACCCUCCCGAUGCUACCAGUGGAUGCGCGCAAGUGCCAGCAAGCUAACGCCGCCACCAGCUCGUCCUCUUGUGCACCAUAGCGCUAAGCCGCCCGAAACCGUAGCUCCGGCCACCGCCGUUCUGGUCGCCGCCGUCGACCCCGGCCUCCCUGUGCCCAGCUGCGUGCGCCCCUAGACGCGCGGGAGCACGGGGUUCCUCCUGAUGCCCUCAGGGUGCCCAACCGCAGCCGUAGCGCCGUCCCGACCAACUCCGGCGAGGUCUCGCCGUCGCCGUGGUCGCCGGCGUCACUCGCCGACGUGGCCACUUAGUUAGGGCGUAAACACCCCGCUAAUCACCCACUACAGCCACUGCCAAGUGGGCCCUCGUGCCUAAUUAACUAGUUUAACCUCUCUGUUUAGAUUAGUACUAAUUUUGUGGGCCCCAUAGGUCAGUUUGACCUGGCCCCGUCACACUUUGACCGACCCCACACGUCGGAGUUGACCAGGCUGAUGUGUCCGUUGACUGGGUCCACCUGCCAGCGACCUAAACGAGCCCUAAGUCACUGACUAAUGGGACCCCCUGGUCAGGUUUGACCCGGGGCAGCCCUGUUGACUUGCUGAUGCAAGCAUGACGCACUGCUGAUGUCAUAAAGUAUUUUCUGGAUUUAAUUAUAUUCAGGAAAUUCCAGAAAAUGCCCUAAACUUCAAUAAAUCAUAGAAAAUUAACCGUAACUCCAAAUUAAAUAAAUUAUAUAUGAAAAAUUAUCAGAAAAAUUCAAGGAAUCCAUCUGUACCAUUUUCAUGCAUGUUAGAACAACUUAUAACUGCUGUUUAGCACAAAUCAUUUAAAUGGCAUUUGAAUAAUCACAUAUGGAGUUUGAAUUUGAAUCUUGUAUUCAAACCAACUUCAUUUAACCUGUUGCUAGUUGCAUUAGCCCAAAACACAUUCAUUUAGCCAUGUCAUGAUCAUGCAUCAUAUUGUGCAUUGCAUUGAUUGUGUUCCUUUCUGUGUUGCCGGUAUUUGUCCCCUCUCGAUAGACGUGUACCGAUGAUGUGAUCGUUGACACUGAUGAAGACUCAAUGUUAUCUUCAGAAGUGCCAGGCAAGCAAAACCCCCUUGUUCAUUCCGAUACCAUCCCACUCUCUCGCUUCUGCUCUCUUUUACUGCAUUAGGACAACACCGAUUCAUCUGUUACUUGCUGCGGUAGCUGAACCCCCUUAUCCUUCGCAUGACCUGUCAUUGCCACAGUAAAUAGAUGAAACCCACUAGCAUGAGUAGGAGUUGUUUGAGCCCUGUUGUGCCUACUCAUUCAUGCUUGCUUGUCAUGCCUGCUACUGCUUAGAGUUGAGUCAGGUUUGAUUCAUCGGGGAUGAAUCAGAGGCGUGUGAACAUGUCCUACUGUGUGUGAGCUAAGUGUGUGAACACGAUUUGGUAAAGGUAGCGGUGAGAGGCCAUGUAGGAGUACAUGGUGGGUUGUCUCAUUGUAGCCGUCCUCAGGAACUGAGUUCUGUGUUUGUGAUCCAUGAUUCAGCUACUACCAUACAUUGGGCCCUGAAAUAUGACCCCGCUCGACUUCUUAUUCACCCUUGUCCUCUGUCCAGGAGUUGCAAGUAGUUUCUGGUGUUUGUAGUAUGCUGGAGGCCGUGGACAGCGCUGACCGUAGGGGUGGGCUGUGAUGCGGUAGGCACGUGGCCGGGUAAACCGGGCGCCCGUUUGGUGUCACGGAACCCUGUUCACAUCGUUUGGGGCUGUGAGCGAAACUCCGGCCGGAUCUCCUCAUGGAUGGAACCCGAAUAGGCGAUAAACCUGGACUAGAGACUUGAGUGUUUAGGUAGGUCAUGGUCUACACCCACGUCGGCUUUCGCUUGAAGUCUGCCGAGCACAUGUCGUGUGCAGACGCUAAGUGGUGGAAACAUGUAUGAAGAAGUACACCCCUGCAGGGUUAACAUUAUCUAUUCGAAUAGCCGUGUCCGCGGAAAAGGACUUCUGGGUUGCUUAUAUCAGUUCAUAGACAAGUGAAAGUGGAUACUCUAAAAUACGCAAGAUAAGCGUGAGUGCUAUGGAUGGCGUUCUCGUAGGGAGACGGGAGCGGAUCCAUAGUGGUGUAUUGAUAUGGUGAAUAUGUGGACUCGUGUGCGCCACCUCAAAAGAGUUACUUGCAGUCGUAGUUCAGGAUAGCCACCGAGUCAAAGCUGGCUUGCUGCAGUUAAACCCCACCAUCCCCUUUGUUGAUAAUGAAGCAUAUGUAGUUAGUUCUGAUGUAAGUCUUGCUGGGUACAUUUGUACUCACGUUUGCCUAUUUAUGUUUUUGCAGAGAGACUUCGGUCUCGCUAGUAGUUCCGCGUGGACUUCGAUGUUUAGCUUGUUACCUCAGCUACGAUCUUGUGCCCUCGGCAGGAUCUGGUAGAUAGUCAGGCUUCUCAGCCUUUUUUAUUUAUAGAUGUCUGUACUCAGACAUGAUAGCUUCCGCUUGUGCUUUGACUUGUAUGCUCUGAGUGUUGGGUCAUGAGACCCAUGUUUGUAAUAUCUCGCUCCUCGGAGCCUAUUGAAUAAACUACUUGAGUCGUAGAGUCAUUUUGUGAUGCCAUGUUGUAAUGCACAUAUCGAGCAUAUUGUGUGUAUGUUAUUGAAAUGCUUGGUAUGUGUGGGAUCUGACCAUCUAGUUGUUUAUCUUUAGUAGCCUCUCUUACCGGGAAAUGUCUCCUAGUGUUUCCACUGAGCCAUGGUAGCUUGCUACUGCUCCGGAACACUUAGGCUGGCCGGCAUGUGUCCUUCUUCGUUCCUGUGUCUGUCCCUUCGGGGAAAUGUCUCGUGAUGAAUACCGGAGUCCUGUUAGCCUGCUACAGCCCGGUUCACCGGAGUCCUGCUAGCCCAGUGCUACAGCCUGGAUUCACUCGCUGAUGACCGACACGUUCGAUGCUGGGUCAUGGAUGCCUGUCCCUGUAAGUUUGUGCCACUUUGGGUUUACGACUAGCCAUGUCAGCCCGGGCUCCUUAUCAUAUGGAUGCUAGCGACACUGUCAUAUACGUGUGCCAAAAGGCGCAAACGGUCCCGGGCAAAGGUAAGGCGACACCCGUGGGAAUACCGUGCGUGAGGCCGCAAAGUGAUAUGAGGUGUUACAUGCUAGAUCGAUGUGGCAUUGAGUCGGGGUCCUGACAGCGUUGGUAUCAGAGCUUGACUGCCUGUAGGAUUACCAAGCCAAACUGGUCGAAGUUGAGUCUAGAAAUUCUUUAGUUAUAUAAGGGAAUUGAUUGUGGGAUGGAACGUAAGGCUCUUUUUACUCCUUAUACCUUAUGCCUUCUGAUCUGAGUCAUCUUAUCCUUCCUGCGGGGAUUAAGAACUAGGCUAUCUCUUCUUUCUAUCAGGAUCACGUGUUACUAAUCCGUAGACUUAUAAGAUUGUUGGACUUAAGCCUCGAUUCAGUUCCUACUACUUCUGUAUGUUAAUUAUUGAUCUCGAGACCUUGAUAUUGUGCUUCUGAGUGGUUAUGCCACCAUUUUUGUGAAUGUCUCAAAUCUUUUCUGAGCAUUUACAGCCGUUAUGCUGUCCGAGUCAUCCCAGGUUUCUAAGUAGUCUGAUGCAAUUGCAAAUCCUUUCUUCCUGUUUCAAUGUCCCCAUGGGCCAGAUUAACCACACUAAUCAGUGAGUUGAGGUACUCCGUUACCUUGACAUAUAUGUUGGAGAUGCUAUUAUGGCCCUAGGUGUUUAGGGGAUCAUCUAGUAGCCUAGCCAUGAUUUGUGUCCUAGUGUGAAGAUUCUGGCCUUCAUUCUCGAAAGCAUUCCGUGAUGCUACUUAGUAGUAGGUAUUCUAUUCCUUGGGCUUUGAACCCGAGAUUCACUCUACUUACUUCAUGUUGAUAGUGUUUGCUAGUUCCUUCAGGAUAUUAGUAACUUUGCGAUAGUCCUCGAGGUCCGUGGUAUUUCCUUCUUCCAAAUACUAUGAACCGCUUAUGGCAGAUGUUUAUUGGAUCAAAAGAUCACAAUUAGAGUACUCUUGAGGAGUUCUCCAUUCAUAAAUCAUGACUCUGCCAGUUCUACCUUUCUGCAUGGGUUAUCCGGAAGAAAUAUGUUGAACUUGGUUCGACAUACUAAUCUAUGCAUCCACAACUCAGAAAAUUAUAUGUUCCUUUGAGUUGUUCUCCGUAGUUGCAUUCUGACCCUCGUCUAUCAAUUGAUAGUCAAGAGUAUGCGUGCGUUCGUUUAUCGAUGCCUAUUACUCUUGUGGUCCGUCAAGCCAUUCUGUCCUGAAUGACUUGGAGAAACAAACUCCAGUACCUCUUCCAUAUCCAGGAUUGGGUCAAAGAAGUUGUGCUCCGCAGAUCUAAUUGCUAAUCCAGCUUUUGGUUCUGUUCUACCUUGGAGUAUUACCUUAUUCUAUAUCGAGAUUGUUAUAGGAAUUGCACACCAUCCUAUGAACUCUUGGUACAGUGAUACUUCUCACCAUCAUUAGUCAUUCCUCGGCCCUCGUGUUGAUGCAACCGGAAUACCGACAAAUGAAUUGUGAUGUGUGAGAUCAAUACUCCCAGCAACCUCGUUGCUUGGUAGUUAAAGGAUAAUAAUUUCAUUCUUAGUAUGUUGGUUUUUGAAUCAUCCUUCUAAGACUGAUCGUGCUACCUAGUCCUUAUUUCGGUGCACCCUUCGAUUGAUGAGUUAGGAUUUUGUCAAGUCCUCACUCAUUUGAUCAUAUCAUCUUGCCCUGAAAAGCAAGAUUGUUCUCGAGCUUAGUAACAUAUCGGUGGUUCGUGAUUUCCGAAGAUCUUCUCGGAAGUAUUACCAGGUCAUCACCUGACCGUUAUGUUGAGCUCGUGAUCAAGUUGGUUUCUUGUGAACCACCCUUUCUCCAAGAAUCGGUGUUAGAUAUCCCUGAGCUAGUUGGUUAAGCUAGACAACAACUUGGAGAGUUGGAAGAUAAAAUCUUGUCUGACUUAGUUCAUUCCAAAGGGAUAUUCUUGUGUAGUGUGUGUUGAAGAAAGAUGAUAUCUUCAUCGAUUGGUCCUUGUGAUCAGUUGCUGGACCUAUUGUCUUAUCAAUCCUUUGAUUUGAGUGUGGGCUAUCGUCAAAUCAAAUCAGUACCAACGAUGCUCGUAAUGUUGUCUUAUUCGUGGUUGAUCCCUCGAGCAUACACCAUUAUAUCUUUUAGGUCUGACCAAUGCUAUCACUUGUUCACUUAACUAUGGAUUUCCUUUUAAAAGGAAACCCAGAUGAAUUGUUGUUGUGCCCAUUGACAACAUCCUUGUCUUCUCCACAAUUUUGCUGAACAUUAAGCUAGUGUUGGAAACUUUUGAAAGCAUUUGUUCAUGCUAGCUCAUGAAGCAUAUGUUUGGAUGAAGGUAGUGACUUCCUUUAAUUCAUGUGCAUCUGAUGCAAGUUGCCGCCGUGGAUUCGAGAAAGUCAAUGUUGCUUUCUUUGGAAUCAUUCCAAAUCAGUCAUGCACACGUGCGAAGAAUGCUGUGGUUUGAAGACUUGCAACCUUCAAUCUAUAUGUAUCCCUAGCACACCAAGCCACUGAUUGAUUUGUUCAAGGAGAAGGAGUUCCUUCAUAAGAGCUAAUCCGGACUUAUGAAAGAACUUCGAUACCCUCGUUGAUGGUCCCCCCUCCUGAACUCGGUAGUGUUUUAUUAUAAGACUACCACGUGGUCAUGCUUGUCUGGGACAACGUGUUCACAUGUUGUAGCAGAACCAGCUCAUGUUUUGGAGCUUGCUAUCGUAGUUCAUCUCCCGAGAAUCCCGCAACGUCAUUUCGUCGAUUUGUGUUGCAAACUUUCGUUUUUCUUCCUAGACUCGAUGAGUCUGGAAUAUCCUGACACCAACCAGAUCUGAAUCUCAGGCAGAUAUGAUGGUUUGGAACAUUUCCCAAGAACUAUAAUAUUGGUCUCGCGAUAACCGAUAAAGUGGAUGUCAUGGCCAACACACCCAGCCGGAAGACCUAUUAUUGUAGUAUCUUGAUUGAAGAAGUUGGCCACUCCCCCCCUAGGGAUUUCGUAGGAUUUACUCCCUAGUUGUGCCUUAUGAUUAUUGUGUUCCCGAUGUCCGACCUUUUACUUGAUGUUCUAGAUACCAAACCAUUUCAAUGAAUGGGAUACGCUAGCACAUCAAGGAGAACAUUAGAAGCGGAGUGCUAAAUGCCUCUCGGUCGAUCAUCCAGAUUUUAUUUCCUUGGCCCCGUCAAGGGUGAGAUCUGAGAAGGUGUUAUCUUCCUUUGCAUCUGCAUCCUCCAUCACCAUUCAUCAUGGUAGUAAGUUGUUUACCGGACCCUUGACACGGAUGUUGGUAAAACCUUGAUGAAUGUGGAAAUGCUCAAGUUCUUGAGAGCACGCACAAACGCUAGGUAUUAUCGCCGGCACUAACCGGGAUUGCUCCUAGUCUCGUCGAUUAUGCUAUAACCACUCCAACAGUGAAUUCACUCUUUAUUGUUGGGUUCUUCCCCAUUUAUCAGAAUCAUUCCCAGCAUUUGCAUUUUGUUCCCAGCUUGCACCGCCAAUGUGCCAUUCUACCAUGGGUCUCUUCCAUUUCCGGUGGUAAGAAAAUUCAUCCAUUACGUUGUCUUCAACAAGGUAAUCCACAUCAUCCAAGUCCGAGUAUGCCAUUCUACCGACCCCCGCCAAUCGAUUGCUGUGAUUUGCAUUAGGCUGGUUCAAAGAGUUCAAUGAUCUUUGAAUCAAAGGUAAUUCUUUUUGCCACUUAAGGGGAUAUUUCUAUGAGUCACCUUCCCUAAGGUGCAUCAUUAUCGUGUCAUGACAACUCAACUCCUCGCUACGUUGACAAUCGUUUGCCACCCUCUUAAGCGUGAAAUUGUUGUCUACCUAGUGAACCCUCGUCAUCUGUUCCACUCCAUCCCUCUAGAGGUGUGCUUCGUCUCUCAGCUCGAGAGAUAUUGUUAUGUCUCAUUCCGUGAGUUGAUCCUGAGUUGUUCGAUCUUCGAGGAGAUCGACCCUUCUAGAGUCUCUUUCUCUCCAGGUCAUGUUGGCAGAAUUUCUCAGAGCAAGACGACAAGACAAAGAUGGUGUUCAAAUCAACGUUCAUUUGAAGUACAACCUGGAUCGUGAAGAUUGUGCUAGUUUGCAUUCCCCUUUCACCUUACCCUACGCUUGAAUCUCGAGACGAGAUUCUUGUUUAGUGGGGGUGAGUUGUCACAUCCCUAGCUUCUGGUAAUGCACUAGGCUAGACUUCUUGCUGCAUCAUGUUUAAAUUCAAACGAAAUUUGAAUUGAGGAAUUUUCAAAGCCUCAGAAACCUCUAAAAAUAACCAACAGUUAAAUCUUCUCAAAUGUGUCCAAGAAAAUGUUCCUGUUAUCCUCUGGAAAUAUUGGCAAGAGGUAAAAUCCAAACCAAUAUUUUUGGUGUCUCAGAAACAUUUAAUUUGGGCAUUUGAAUUAAAGCAAUAAUUAUUUGAAUUGGAUUUAUAUCUACUAUUAAAUAAAUAUAGGUCCAAUAAUUCUGAAAUAUUUUGUGGAGCAUUGUUUUAAUUCUUUUAGCUCCUAAAAAUAUUGUCAGAAGCAAAAUAAAUUGAAUUGGUUUCAAAACCAAAUUCAAAACAAACCUGCAAAAUAGAAAACAAAACAGAACAGAAAUAAAAAUAAAAAGAACAGAGUCUUACCUGGGCCUUACCUGGCUGGCCCAGUGGACAGCCCAGCCCACUGGCCUGGUGCCAGUCGUCCUCUACCUCUGCCAGUAGGCAGAGGAGGGAGACAGCGCACGCGCGCGCCGUGGCGACACGCCACCUCCCUGCCUGCCUGCGUCCCUCGCCACCGCGACGCCUCGGGCUUUCUCCUCGGCGCCGCCUCGAACCCCUGGACCCCCUCACUCGUCCCCUUCGUCUCUCCUUCGCCUCUCCCUCUCGCACACCCGAACGCCUCCGCCGCCGCCGUUCGCAACCACCGCAACCACAGCCACUCCCUCGCCCCCUCUCUGCGUACCCGAGCUCCGCCCUGACCCCGUGGAGCUACCCACCGACGCACGCGAUCAGAGGAAGCCGAAAUCGACCGGAGCAUCAUCGUCUUCACCUCCGGUGCCCGGAGAUCGACUCCACCGAUUCGGCGCGUCCAGAGCCUCCCCGGCCCCGCCGUCUGCACCGUCUGACUCGCCGUGAGCCACUUACCUUAUCCCCUAACCCCUUGUGCUCGCCCCCGUGCUGUAGCGCCGUUCCCCGCGAGCACCGAGCUUCGGCCAUCGCCAUUGCCGGCGAACCUCGCGUCCCGGAGCUCUUCCGCUCGAUCCAGUAGCUCCCGUGUGCUCUCCAGGUUCCCAGGGUCCCGACGCGCUCCUCUGCUCUCUGGCUAACGCGCUGCAGCCACCGCGCCGUGCUGGCCCGAACUCCGGCCGCCGCCGAAGUCGACGCUGCGCUCGACUCAGGCCACGUCUCACCCUCCCGAUGCUACCAGUGGAUGCGCGCAAGUGCCAGCAAGCUAACGCCGCCACCAGCUCGUCCUCUUGUGCACCAUAGCGCUAAGCCGCCCGAAACCGUAGCUCCGGCCGCCGCCGUUCUGGUCGCCGCCGUCGACCCCGGCCUCCCUAUGCCCAGCUGCGUGCGCCCCUAGACGCGCGGGAGCACGGGCUUCCUCCUGAUGCCCUCAGGGUGCCCAACCGCAGCCGUAGCGCCGUCCCGACCAACUCCGGCGAGGUCUCGCCGUCACCGUGGUCGCCGGCGUCACUUGCCGACGUGGCCACUUAGUUAGGGCGUAAACACCCCGCUAAUCACCCACUACAGCCACUGCCAAGUGGGCCCUCAUGCCUAAUUAACUAGUUUAACCUCUCUGUUUAGAUUAGUACUAAUUUUGUGGGCCCCAUAGGUCAGUUUGACCUGGCCCCGUCACACUUUGACCGACCCCACACGUCGGAGUUGACCAGGCUGAUGUGUCCGUUGACUGGGCCCACCUGCCAGCGACCUAAACGAGCCCUAAGUCACUGACUAAUGGGACCCCCUGGUCAGGUUUGACCCGGGGCAGCCCUGUUGACUUGCUGAUGCAAGCAUGACGCACUGCUGAUGUCAUAAAGUAUUUUCUGGAUUUAAUUAUAUUCAGGAAAUUCCAGAAAAUGCCCUAAACUUCAAUAAAUCAUAGAAAAUUAACCGUAACUCCAAAUUAAAUAAAUUAUAUAUGAAAAAUUAUCAGAAAAAUUCAAGGAAUCCAUCUGUACCAUUUUCAUGCAUGUUAGAACAACUUAUAACUGCUGUUUAGCACAAAUCAUUUAAAUGGCAUUUGAAUAAUCACAUAUGGAGUUUGAAUUUGAAUCUUGUAUUCAAACCAACUUCAUUUAACCUGUUGCUAGUUGCAUUAGCCCAAAACACAUUCAUUUUGCCAUGUCAUGAUCAUGCAUCAUAUUGUGCAUUGCAUUGAUUGUGUUCCUUUCUGUGUUGCCGGUAUUUGUCCCCUCUCGAUAGACGUGUACCGAUGAUGUGAUCGUUGACACUGAUGAAGACUCAAUGUUAUCUUCAGAAGUGCCAGGCAAGCAAAACCCCCUUGUUCAUUCCGAUACCAUCCCACUCUCUCGCUUCUGCUCUCUUUUACUGCAUUAGGACAACACCGAUUCAUCUGUUACUUGCUGCGGUAGCUGAACCCCCUUAUCCUUUGCAUGACCUGUCAUUGCCACAGUAAAUAGAUGAAACCCACUAGCAUGAGUAGGAGUUGUUUGAGCCCUGUUGUGCCUACUCAUUCAUGCUUGCUUGUCAUGCCUGCUACUGCUUAGAGUUGAGUCAGGUCUGAUUCAUCGGGGAUGAAUCAGAGGCGUGUGAACAUGUCCUACUGUGUGUGAGCUAAGUGUGUGAACACGAUUUGGUAAAGGUAGCGGUGAGAGGCCAUGUAGGAGUACAUGGUGGGUUGUCUCAUUGUAGCCGUCCUCAGGAACUGAGUUCUGUGUUUGUGAUCCAUGAUUCAGCUACUACCAUACAUUGGGCCCUGAAAUAUGACCCCGCUCGACUUCUUAUUCACCCUAGUCCUCUGUCCAGGAGUUGCAAGUAGUUUCUGGUGUUUGUAGCCUACUGGAGGCCGUGGACAGCGCUGACCGUAGGGGUGGGCUGUGAUGCGGUAGGUACGUGGCACGGUGUACCGGAUGCCCGUUUGGUAUCUCGGGAACCCUGUUCACAUCGUUUGGGGCUGUGAGCGAAACUCCGGCCGGAUCUCCUCAUGGAUGGAACCCGAAUAGGCGAUAAACCUGGACUAGAGACUUGAGUGUUUAGGCAGGCCGUGGCCGACACCCACGUUGGGCUUCCGCUUGAAGGUUGCCGAGUACAUGUCGUGUAAACGGCGGUAAGUGGUGAGAGCGUGUGUGAAGAAGUACACCCCUACAGGGUUAACAUCAUCUAUUCGAAUAGCCGUGUCCGCGGAAAAGGACUUCUGGGUUGCUUAUAUCAGUUCAUAGACAAGUGAAAGUGGAUACUCUAAAAUACGCAAGAUAAGCGUGAGUGCUAUGGAUGGCGUUCUCGUAGGGAGACGGGAGCGGAUCCAUAGUGGUGUAUUGAUAUGGUGAAUAUGUGGACUCGUGUGCGCCACCUCAAAAGAGUUACUUGCAGUCGUAGUUCAGGAUAGCCACCGAGUCAAAGCUGGCUUGCUGCAGUUAAACCCCACCAUCCCCUUUGUUGAUAAUGAAGCAUAUGUAGUUAGUUCUGAUGUAAGUCUUGCUGGGUACAUUUGUACUCACGUUUGCCUAUUUAUGUUUUUGCAGAGAGACUUCGGUCUCGCUAGUAGUUCCGCGUGGACUUCGAUGUUUAGCUUGUUACCUCAGCUACGAUCUUGUGCCCUCGGCAGGAUCUGGUAGAUAGUCAGGCUUCUCAGCCUUUUUUAUUUAUAGAUGUCUGUACUCAGACAUGAUAGCUUCCGCUUGUGCUUUGACUUGUAUGCUCUGAGUGUUGGGUCAUGAGACCCAUGUUUGUAAUAUCUCGCUCCUCGGAGCCUAUUGAAUAAACUACUUGAGUCGUAGAGUCAUUUUGUGAUGCCAUGUUGUAAUGCACAUAUCGAGCAUAUUGUGUGUAUGUUAUUGAAAUGCUUGGUAUGUGUGGGAUCUGACCAUCUAGUUGUUUAUCUUUAGUAGCCUCUCUUACCGGGAAAUGUCUCCUAGUGUUUCCACUGAGCCAUGGUAGCUUGCUACUGCUCCGGAACACUUAGGCUGGCCGGCAUGUGUCCUUCUUCGUUCCUGUGUCUGUCCCUUCGGGGAAAUGUCUCGUGAUGAAUACCGGAGUCCUGUUAGCCUGCUACAGCCCGGUUCACCGGAGUCCUGCUAGCCCAGUGCUACAGCCUGGAUUCACUCGCUGAUGACCGACACGUUCGAUGCUGGGUCAUGGAUGCCUGUCCCUGUAAGUUUGUGCCACUUUGGGUUUACGACUAGCCAUGUCAGCCCGGGCUCCUUAUCAUAUGGAUGCUAGCGACACUGUCAUAUACGUGUGCCAAAAGGCGCAAACGGUCCCGGGCAAAGGUAAGGCGACACCCGUGGGAAUACCGUGCGUGAGGCCGCAAAGUGAUAUGAGGUGUUACAUGCUAGAUCGAUGUGGCAUUGAGUCGGGGUCCUGACAUGUUAUUUAGGCUAGUGCACUUCUCCAGCUCCUACAUGAUGCGCAAACAGGCUACUACUCACAACCUAUGUACAUAUCAUACAAGUCGGUACAUCGCAUGGCGAUUAAACGCACUUAGUCGGAGGGAAUGUUGAGGACGUCCUUUGCCCUGCCGAGGGUGAGACGCAGUGAGGGUGGGGACUCAACUUCCUCCUCGCUAAUAGGCUCCAGACGGGUAGUGCUGCGCUGAGUAGAUGGAACGGGUGCCCUAUAUGGAGCAACAUGUACCGGUGUGGGCGCAGUGGGUGGCGCAGAGCGGACUGGAGUGGGUGCAAUGGCUUGGUUGAAUUCCUCGGUGGAAGGCAGGCGACGAGGAAUGCCGCGUAUGGCCGGUGCAUAAGAUGCUGAGGACGAGACGAACGUCAGUGGUGGUGCGGUGUGCAGAAGCUCCCUCCUGUUGGCGGCACAGCCAUGGACUGAGUCCAUGCGGGCAGCCACGAGGUCGUCCACCAGGCUGUCGAAGGCUGCCUCCAGAGCUCGGAGAUACCCGACGAGCAUUUCAAAAGACUCAUCUCGCUCUCCUCUGGGGCAAGAGUAUGAGUAGUGACAAGCGUAUGGCACGUGACAUGGAAGGUAGCGGUAACGACGAUUCUUCAUCGAUGGAAGGUCUUCCCUGAGACGAGCUAUCGCCUCUCGGGCUGCCAUCUGCAUAGCAUGCCUCUCAGUAGGCAUGGCUCUCCCCAAGUACUGGAAGCGACGUAGCUCAAGACGCCCUCCCUUGAAUUGCACCGCAGCCUGGUGCAUGGUCAGACCAUCGUUGACUUUGUGCUGAUAGAGUGAGAAGACGGGGCGCACGGAUGGCCCCAUCGCCACCUGAACGAUGAAGGUGAGGAGCUUGACGAACCCAUCGGGCUCGUUGGCGAACAUCUGAGACUCGCAGUUGCUGUCGGCCAUCUACAAAAGUAGGCAAAAAUUCUGAGUGGUCAGAUCAUAAAUUUAUGCUGACUGUCAGAAAAUGACUACAUUUGCAAAAAUAAUAGCUCUAUUUUUGCUAAUAUCCGAUUAGCGAUCGCACCUAGUGGCUUCCUACAGUCAUCCUGGCUCUGGUACCAAGCUUGUCACGACCGGUUUUUCAAUAAAAAUAUUUAUUGAAAGACCGAUCUUUUGAUGUCCAGUGUGAGGAAAAUCCUCCUCACUGGUAGACAAAACUUUGAUACAAUAAGCCAGUAGCAUUAAUAUAUUACAGGGGGUUGAGCUGGAGUCGCUCAACAAUUAUUACAAGCACGCCAAUAAUUAUACAUAUGGCGGAUAUGGCACAAUGGUGGGGUGGCAAUACUACUGACUCGAGAUAAAAGUGGUUGGGUGGAGUAACACAGUGGAGUGGGUAGCAAUACUGCUACACUGGCGGCUCAUCGAGCGUCGAGGUGAGGCUCGAUGAAUUUUAUUUAGGUAGCGGAAGCGGUUAUAAACAGUGACCCAACCAGGGUCGCACGAGACUGACUGGGACUCCUCUAAGCGUCGGACUCGCUAUCGAACUCCUCAUCCAUGAGAUCGCCUUCGUCAGCAUCUGGCCAAAUCAACAAGCCAGGUGAGUACUUUGAAAGUACUCGCAAGACAGUUCGGACAGGAGAUAUAACAAAUGCAUGCAUGAAUGCGUCAUGAGUAUUUUAACAAUGGCACAUUUAAUUCAUAAAGACAAAACAGGUAAAAUGGGAGUCGGCGGUAGUCCGCUCGAAAACCCAAAGAAAUAAUCGUAAAUCCAAUCGGGUGUCUGAAGCGACGCCUCGAAAAGAAGAUAAAUAAGUAAAACAUGCCGCAGUCGGGCGUCUAGGCGACACCACAUAAAGGGCUUAGAGCAAAAUAGAUAAUAACAAUGCCGCAUCCGGACGUCUAAGCGACGUCACAGAAAGGGCUUAUAGCAACAUAAAUAAUAAUUAUGCCGCAGUCGGACGUCUGAGCGACGUCACAGAAAGGGCUUAUAGCAACAUAAAUAAUAACAAUGCCGCAGUCGGACGUCUUAGCGACGUCACAGAAAGGGCUUAUAGCAACAUAAAUAAUAACAAUGCCGCAGUCAGACGUCUGAGCGACGUCACAGAAAGGGCUUAUAACAAAAUAAAUAAUAACAAUGCCGCAGUCGGACGUUUGAGCGACGUCACAGAAAGGGCUCAUAACAAAAUAAAUAAUAACAAUGCCGCGGUCGGACGUCUGAGCGACGUCACAUAAAGGGCUUAUAAUAAAUAAUAACAAUGCCGCAGUCAGACGUCUAAGCGACGUCACAUAAAGUGCUCAUAACAAAAUAAAUAAUAACAAUGCCGCAGUCGGACGUCUGAGCGACGUCACAUAAAGGGCUUAUAGUUAAUUGUCAUAACGUGUGAGGGUUAAUAUACACAGAAAAAUAUUCCACACAAGAUGGUUAACGGUUAGUCCUUCACAAGACACAACAUUAACCAAACUUCACACUCCUUUAGCUUACCGGGGUUCUUGCCAUCAAGACUGACAAUUGACAAGAUAAAGAGGACCCGGAACAGGGUCAUGGAUAGGAUGUUGUAAUGGGGAGUUGACUCUGCAGAGUUUGUACUAAAAUACCCACAUCCAACGGAUUUCCGUAGUCACGAGGGACUAGUUCCGUUUAUGGUAUUUUGGAAGAAACACAACUUAACCAGUACACACCCAUCCCACUUCACAUUGCCAGGAAUCACCCUUGACAGCGUUCAAGAAAAACUUUGAGACGGGGAGAUCACAAUCUCGAAUAGCAUGGGAUCAAAUUUAUAUACGCGCGCUCUAAGGGGUGCCCCCCUCUCGGUCCCAACCGGAAACACCCAUGCCCCCUGACCGGAUGAAAGGCUUUAAUCCAGGGCCAUGGAAGCUUCAUCCCGGCCUCUCCAUUUGGUGUGUACCGGGAAGUGGUUUACAUCUUACUAAGCCAUAUCCCUUGCGGGAAACAUACGGAAAGGGAAAUGAACGGGAGUUGAUACCGGGGUCAACAAACAUACUGGCAUAAGACUGGCAUGCUACAACACUACCAUCUUGGCCAUCUUCAUGCCACCACGUGGCCAUGCAACCUCAUUUCCAUGAACUCAUGGAUUUCCGUAACUCACUUGUCUCAGCUUUUCAUGAAACAAAAUUUAUCGGGAUGCUUAUGAACAUGGCAUGAAACUAUUCAAUGCAAACAUGCCAAGACACUCAUCAUAUCAAAAGUUCAAACAUGCUUGCCUGGCUCGGAGUAGUCGGGGCCUAGUUCGGCGAAGUUCGCGUCUCCGUCACCACCUUCGGUAUCUACGGUACACAAAAUACACGCGCUAUCGUAAAUACCGUG
rnacentral:lncRNA from 1 species